rnacentral:rRNA from 1 species
GGGAAGUAAAAGUCGUAACAAGGUCUCCGUUGGUGAACCAGCGGAGGGAUCAUUAUAGAGUUUUCUAAACUCCCAACCCAUGUGAACUUACCUUUUGUUGCCUCGGCAGAAGUUAUAGGUCUUCUUAUAGCUGCUGCCGGUGGACCAUUAAACUCUUGUUAUUUUAUGUAAUCUGAGCGUCUUAUUUUAAUAAGUCAAAACUUUCAACAACGGAUCUCUUGGUUCUGGCAUCGAUGAAGAACGCAGCGAAAUGCGAUAAGUAAUGUGAAUUGCAGAAUUCAGUGAAUCAUCGAAUCUUUGAACGCACAUUGCGCCCAUUAGUAUUCUAGUGGGCAUGCCUGUUCGAGCGUCAUUUCAACCCUUAAGCCUAGCUUAGUGUUGGGAAUCUACUUCUCUUAGGAGUUGUAGUUCCUGAAAUACAACGGCGGAUUUGUAGUAUCCUCUGAGCGUAGUAAUUUUUUUCUCGCUUUUGUUAGGUGCUAUAACUCCCAGCCGCUAAACCCCCAAUUUUUUGUGGUUGACCUCGGAUCAGGUAGGAAUACCCGCUGAACUUAAGCAUAUCAAUAAGCGGAGGA